GACAGAGGAUGCAAGCGUUAUCCGGAAUGAUUGGGCGUAAAGCGUCUGUAGGUGGCUUUUUAAGUCCGCCGUCAAAUCCCAGGGCUCAACCCUGGAAUGCCGGUGGAUACUGUCGGGCUAGAGUCCGGAAGGGGCGAGUGGAAUUCCUGGUGUAGCGGUGAAGUGCGCAGAUAUCAGGAGGAACACCAAUGGCGAAGGCAGCUCGCUGGGACGUGACUGACGCUGAGACGCGAAACGUGGGAGCAAACAGG
rnacentral:rRNA from 1 species